AUUCUGAUCAGUACUGGUUAUUACCAAUUAUUUUAACCUUUUGCAAAUCAUAUGAAGGAAUAAUAGUAUUUCCUAUUUGCUUUAAUAUAUCUUUUUAAAUUUAUUUCUAAGGUUGAGCAUCUUUAAAAUGUUUCCCAGGUAUUUUGUCUCAUUAGCUCUGCAUGCACCUUACCCAUUUUUCUGUCUUUGGAUUCAUCUUUUCUUACUGAUUUCUAAGCACUCCAUGCCUGUUUAAGGUCAUCUGUCCUUUAUCAGAUGUGUUGCUGAAACUAUUUCUGGCUUCCUUUCUGCUUUUGCUCAUCCGAUAGCUGAAAUUCACGGAUACCAUUAACGAUUAUCUUUUACUCUGCUCAUGUUUGGUUCUCCUGAAUGAUACUCAGUUAGUUUAUGUGGUUACCUAACUAUGUCAGUAAUCCCAGCCAAGCUUGCCCUUAAUUCUUUCAGCCCCAGAUGGUGACUGUCCUGAAAAUCUGUGACAGACUUGAGCUCCCAGAAGGGACACGAACACGGUUUCUCGCCCUACCCAGAAAUAGGAAUUUCCUGAGCCCACAGACACACUGUCCUUCUCUAAUCCUGUGCCAUCUCAUAGAAGAGGCGCAUGUCUGCGUUCUCUGUUCUCUUAGAAAACCGAGUCUUACACAGAAGAGAAUGAAUUCCCACAUGUGACUGGGAGGAAAUGAAGAUGAUCAGGCCCACAGUGAUGGGUCGGGUAAAACAGGACAUCCCGAGAGGACGUCUUGCAUACUAGUCAGAGCAUCUCAGUCCAACCUUGGCAGGUUUAUCAAAUGCCUGGAUGGUCCCAGGCCCAGAGUGGCUUCUACUCGGCUGCUCUCGUGCACCAGUGCCAUGAGGUGCCAGCCGGCACAGCUGCUCACCACCAUGGUCCAAUCUCCCUGGUCACCUUUCCAGAAUUCACAGCUGCUCCCAGGGGUUGCCUCGUACACAGUAACUUUUAAAUUACUUAAUUAAGUUAAAAAUAAUUGUAUUGCAUUGUGAACUGAUACUGCAUUGAAAUGACAGGUUUUAUUCAGAAAAAAAUGACAUGUGGGCGACUGAGUCUUUCUAAGAGCAACAUUUUACUCUGUGAGUUUUUCUCUUUUCUCAAUAGAACCUUUUUGUGUCCUUUAAAAAGUUCUUCACAUAAAUCCAGAAUAUCUUUUGUAACUUGACUCCUAGAUAUUUCAUGAUCUCCCUUCCUAUGUGAGUCACAUUUUUCUCUCAUGCUGUUUUAGAAUCAGCUACUAUUUGCAUAGAGCAAGCUAUUGAUUUUUAUAACAGUUUGCCUUACGGGUUUGCAUUUUUUGUGGUUACUUCUCAGUGGUUUUUCAAAUAAAAUUGUAAAUCUGUAAUAAUUACCAGAUAACCUCCUUGAUCCUGAUGCAUAGGCCUGCUAUUUUCUCCUCUCACUGAAUUGCACUGACUACUGAUGGAUCAUCUAAUCCAACCCACGCACUUUGCAGAGGAAGACGCUGUGGCCGAACAAGACAGGACUUGGUUAAGAAUUUCUGUUCAUGCAUUAAGUACAGAUUGUAGUUACAGCCCAGAUGCCCAGGGAAUCCAAAUGAGUCUGUAUCCAGGGAAGGAACAGAGAGAACUUCAAUGACACAAAAACUUGAUGCCUCUGUGACUGUUGGCCUGGAACCUACCAUGCUUUUAAGGUCCAAAAUUUAGAUGAUUUACCUCAUGACAGGAUUUCUGUAUGACAAGUCAGAGCCAGAGGAAAUUUACUUUGGAUCUAAGAAUUUGGGGUACUGCUGUUUAUCAGCCCUGAGAGAAAUCUUUGCAGGAUGUAGGGAAGGUGAGAAAAAUUGUCAAGUGUAAGGAUGGUUGACAUUCUUAAGGAAAGAAAACAGAAAUGAAGGGAGGGACGGAAGCAGGGAGAGAGAAGGAGAGAGAGAGAUCACGUGAAUGUCUCACACAAUUGCCCUUGUGUUUUGGGGCCUUAAAAGUUGGGUCGGUCUUUGCCUGCGAGGCAGCCCCACAAAAAUGGCCACGCGAUGGCCCAGCUCAGCGCUUCUGCUCUCCUCUGUCCAAUGAGAAGGCAAAGUACUGGCGGCUCCCCCUGAAGCCCACAGACUGGCGUACUGAGGCCUAAGCUUGCUAACACCAUUCUGACUGGACAGUCCUGCUGAACGAGCCCUUCUCGCCAGAAAACUAGGAUUCCCUCCUUGCCAUCAUGAACCAGGCGAUGUCCUGCUAUCUGGUGACCUACAUGCUGGGUCUGUUUAUUCUUUUUCUCCACAUUGUUGAGGGGGAGAAAGCUAAAGAUGAUCAGGCCGACGUCGAUGUGUCGGAUAGAGCAGGGGAUCCUGGGGAGGACAGAUGGGCUGCUCUGUGUCCUCAUCAGGGCACCUCGGUCCUAACCUAGGCAGGUACCCCACCCUGGUCCCAGGCCUGGAGUGGCUUCUACUCGGCUUCUCUCGUGCACCAGUGCCAUGAGGUGCCAGCUGGCACAGCUGCUCGCCACCAUGGUCCAAUCUCCCUGGUCACCGUUCCAGGAUUCACAGCUACUCCCAGGGGUUGCCUCGUGAACAGGAACUUUUAAAUUACUUAAUCAAGUUAAAAAUAAUUGUAUUGCUUUGUGAACUGAUACUGCAUUGAAAUGACAGGUUUAUCUCAGAAAAAAAUGACAUACAGACGAUUGAGUCUUUCAAUCGUAUGAACCAGACAGAGUUGCUUUAGCCUAAAAAUAGGAAACACUCUUCAGAAGCCACAGAGACGUGGAGUGCACCUCUCUUCUCUGUGCCACCUUCCCCUGCCUUCCAUGCUGCCCUGGAGCAUCCCCUUCUCUGCUCGGAAGCCUCAGGACACUGCCAUCACAUGGGGAUCUGAGUCCCUCAGACUGGCUGUCAGUCUGGAGAGCACGCCGCCGUGCCAACGUCUCAUUCCAGUGAGAACCCGGGGCAUCCUUUCAGGCUCCCAAUGUUCUACUGUAGGUCAAUUUAAAUGAGACAUGUCAUCUCCCAUGUGUAAUCGGUGGCUUGUGGUCUGCAGUGCAGCUAUAACUCUGAAGGUGAGCAGCAACAUGCCCAGGGCUGCAGGCUGGGCACCAGCCCCCACCGUGUGCUCAGCAAUUUAGGUGCCAUUUCACUGCAUCCUCCCAACAAUCGUGAGAGGCAGGUCCCAGGUUGUGAGGAUGACUGUUCGACGGAUGAGGUGAUGUGGCCACACGGAGGCCACACAGGAGCUGAGGUCACAUGGCUGUCAAACCUAUGCCCCCAGCCACCAUCAGAAUCCCAGCAUGCAGCCUACGCCCCUCCACAGGAAUGGCUCCAGCUGCCUCAAGGUUACGACGCAGAAAAACAAGUGGGUUAAGGUUUUGGGUACCAGCUUCUGAUUGGGGCUCUGCCUCUGACUUACAAGGCCCAACACUUUGAGCCUCAGGUCCCUCAUUGGCCUAGUGCUGGUGCUGGGUGAGAGGACAUCCCGAAGUCCCCUCCUCGGAUCCGCAACACGUGGGACCUGGCAGUGAAGUGUGAGAAUGAAACGCGCACCUCAGCUGAUGGGCCUCGGCCCGAGAGCAGAGGAGCCCCUAGUGCUGAGCAGACAGCCUGGCCCUGGGCCCACCCAGCCUGCGUGCUGCCCGGCGCUCGCUCACCCCCUCGCCCGUCUUCAUCCUCGAGCAGCUGCUCCUGGAGGUGCUGCCUGUGGCCCGACUGUGUUCCAAUCACACUGGCGCUAGGGAUCCAGAGGGACCACCGAGUGGGCCCAUUCCAGGUGAGCAGCUCCUAGCGGCAACCCAAGGGCUGGGGACAGGCUCCCAUUGGCAUGUGUGACUGUGCUUCCCCUGAGCAAGGCUUGGCUAAGGAGCAUGAGCAUAAGUUCUAGGAGACAGGAGGUGCCAAGAUGCUGGACUCCUCAGCACUGUCCCUGCUUCCCUGCCAGGCCACGGGGAUGUUAACCUUCCCCACUGAGGGCCACGCAGGCCCUUGCAGAGCAUGUUCCACAUGGGGGAACUGAGACCGUGGGAGCUAGAAGACAUGGAAAAGACGAGGGCGAGGGAAAACAAACUUCAUCAGGGCUAAGAUUGUGGACAAAUGGAAGAUUGUGAGCUCUCUGUGCAGCAUAUCGAAAGGAAACAGUGCAACAUUCUAGCAAUAAAAAGAAAUUAGGUCAGUCUAGGGGAGACAGACUCGCCAGCAAGCACUACAGUGUACCUGGAUGGGUGCUCUAGCCAUGGAGGGGGCAGAGGUGAAGGGCAGAGGCCAUGGCGGUGGGUGGUUCUGCUGAGAAGAGGGGACAGGGCGGCGCCGUCAGCACCUCGGACAGCACACAGUGGAAGAGAGUGGGCCGAAAAGGCUUGGGUGGGAAAACCACAAAAGCCAUUUGGGAAUAGUAUUAAAACGUUCUCAUUAAACGAAAUAUCACACUAUUCCUUAAUGUCACAGUACUACCUUCUUUUUUACCUUUUUUUCUGAUUCUGGGGCCUUCCCAAUGAGGAGUAUCACCAUCAAGCCAAGUCUGCACUGACCAAGAGGGCACCAAUGGGAGCCGGAGAGCCUGGGUCAUGCCUCCAGAGACACCACCUGCCUCUGGACCCCUGGGCAAGAGACUGUGCACUUCUGGACCUUAGCUUCCCAUCCAGAGAAUAAGAAGGCUAGAUUUGGAUGAUUUCCCAAAUCCCUCCAACUCCGUGAUGCUACAGCGUCUGUGCCCAUCGUUUGCACGGGGUGGGAGAGGCACGAACAGUUUGCUCUCAGCCAAAACUGCCUCCCACAGGAAGGAAGAGACAAAUUAUCUGCUUCUAGGGAAUUGUGGGGUCCCUCCUGCUUAACAUGAGGAAGAAUAUUUAAAAUGUGGACUUAUUUGCUUUAUGUUGGUGGUGGGGCACUGAUCUCACAUUCUUGGAAUUUCUGGACAUAUUGAUGGGGACAGGUAAGCACCUGAGUAAGAGGAAUUGUAUAAAGAUAGGAAAUUGGUCAGACUGGUCAUUUUAGGUCUCUCCUGGUUCUCAGUUUCUAUCACUCUCCUUGCCCCGUUUCCAAGGACACAGUAUGCUUUAGCCAGCAACUUUCAGCAAGAAAACCAUUUUCCCUUCUCCUACAAUUUACCAGUUACUUAGCGAGAACCAUGGUACAAAAUGAACAAAGUAGGAUCUCAAAAAGUGAGGGGCCUUCAGCUUGAUCACAUCACUGGGCACUGAAACAGCUCAUCCAUCAAGAUAUCUCCAAGUACGGAGCAGUUUUGGUGUUUCUACGCUAUGCAGGGAGGGUAGGAUCAGAUCUCGAUGCUUGAAUUUGUCGUAUAAGCAAAGAGAAGAUGUGGAAGGAUUUUAACAAGGGAAUGACGUUGUCAAAUUUGCAAUCCAGAAACGACUUGGGAGCAGCACGUAGGAUGGAUCUGGAAGCCCUGGUGAAGAACAGCUAUAAACCAGAGACUUCCAGUUUUACAGUGGGAAAGUAAAGAUGGAGGUUCUCCCCUUGUCCUCUCAGGAACUCCCCAAAAGCACAGCAGAAAAUAAGAAAUAAAAAUGUAAACUCUAUUAUCUACAAACUGAGGUGUGGCAGUGCAGGACGGAGGACAAGACCGGCUGUCUGCGAACGCAGGUCUCCAGAGCACAGCUCUGAAGAAAUCACCUGCGCGCCCCGCGAGACACACCGACAAUGCCUGGCGUGAAGCGGUGAGGUCAGGUGAGAGCGGGCAUCACAAGACUCCUUGAACCGAGACGGGCACCCGAUACCAAGGAAGAGGGGGCACAAGCGGAGCUAGCAGCCGGUCACACAGGGUCUGCGGCUGUAGGAAGUAGCCUGGUUCUGAGGAGGAAUAUGGUGCAUGCUGUGGCCUUCUUGUGGGUGUGCAUGAAAAGAAUGCAUUCAUAUCGACACCCCUGCAUCACAGGAGAAUUCCGAGGAGCCCGGAGCCCACCUGUCUACCCUCUACAAAGGUCUCUUAAAAACAGUCGAGAAAUACUUCACUUGGACAAAGAUGAGUCGUCAUCAGACAGACCAAACGAAUCUCUCCAAUGGCGCUACUGAAAACAAUUUAGAAAGUGAGGUAACAGGAGGACCGACAGUUGAAUACAAGCCCCUCCCCCACUGAAAAUCUGGCCGUCAACUGGAUUCGAAUCCCGACCUAAGAGAGCCCUGUAACUGACGAAAACACGGAUGGUGAAGACGGUGAAGCAAUUAGUUUGAAACAGAGAUGAAACACAAAUUAGAGACACAAUAACUCAGAAAAUAUAUUUUCAGAUUUUAAAAAAAGGAAAAGAGACCUGACCUUAUAGAACCAUGGUAGGAAGUGAAAGAAGAAAAUACAGAACUGAAGGGGAGUUGGGGGGGCACACGAGCGCGACUGCACGUCUCUGCAAAUAUGUAGCUGGAUGGAGGGUCAGGAGCUUUUUUUCCACAUUCAGAGAUGGAGAAACUCAACAACAUUUUAAAAGUCGAAUUUUCCUAUUUUUAUAUCUAUUUAUCUACCUCAAUAAAGGAAACCAACAGAUUUUUGUGAAGUAGAAAAAUGGAUUCAGGCAGAGUAAAUGCAAACCCCUCAGACUUGUAUGAGGACUCUCCGCCUCAUGCUCAGCUUCCUUGGGGCCCCCCCACCCUGGGCCUGGGCACCCUCUGUCUGGAAUGCUCUUCCCAGAGGUGUGCGUGGCCUGCUUCCUCCACCCCGGACCCCUUACCUUGGCUCACCAUUUCUCCACUGCGUUUAAUAUCUUAGGAACUAUUCAUAUUCAUCUGCUAGGGCUGCCCUAACAAAACACCACAGACUGGGGGCGCUUGCACAGCAGGAAUCUAUUUCUCACAAUUCUGUAAGUCAGAAAUCCAAGAUCAAGGAGUCAUGGGGUUGGCUUCUCAGGGGCCUCUCUUUGCAUCUUGCUGGGGCCACUGUCUCCUGGUGUCCCCAUGGGAUCUGUCAUCUGUGUGCACAGAUUCCGUCGUGUGUCCAGAGUUCCUCUUGUUGAAAAGACACUGGAUCGGGGCCCACUCGACUAGCUUCAUUUUACCGUGAUCACCUCCCGAAAGGCUCAUCUCCAAAUACAGGUCUAGGACUUCAACCUCUGAAUUCUGGGGGUCACUUUUCAGCCCCUAACUAUUUUAUAAUUUCCUCAUCUAUUUUCUUUUUUUAUUCCUUUCUCUCUGGCAGACACUGGAUGUAAGCUCUGUCCUGGAAGGGAUUUUUGUCUUGUUAUCUGCUGUCUCCCCAGUGCCUAGAACGGUGUUUGGAAUAUAGAAUAAACUAGAAGCACAAUAAAUGCUUGUUG